CAGCCGCCGCGGUAAUACGUAGGGUGCGAGCGUUAAUCGGAAUUACUGGGCGUAAAGCGUGCGCAGGCGGUUAUAUAAGACAGAUGUGAAAUCCCCGGGCUCAACCUGGGAACUGCAUUUGUGACUGUAUAGCUAGAGUACGGCAGAGGGGGAUGGAAUUCCGCGUGUAGCAGUGAAAUGCGUAGAUAUGCGGAGGAACACCGAUGGCGAAGGCAAUCCCCUGGGCCUGUACUGACGCUUAUGCACGAAAGCGUGGGGAGCAAACAGGAUUAGAUACCCCCGUAGUCCCUGUCUCUUAUAC
rnacentral:rRNA from 1 species